ACAGCAACUGACCAAAGGUCGUGUGCUGUGGAUGCCGAGCCGUGAGUGUCAGCAGCUGACAUAAACAGAGCUGUUUCCCCCCGGAGAACCUUUUCAUGCCCACAUUUUGAGCCCACUGGCGUCUUUUUUUUGUUGUUGUUUUUUACAGCAGUGUCCGGUCUCUUAGCUGACUCCUGCAGUAGCCGAGGAAGAGAUGAUGAAGCGUCUCACUUGUGCCUGGCUUCCCGAGCUGUCCCCUUGGAUUCCUGUAUCUGAGUCCUUGAUGCUCUGUCAACAGCCAAGCAGGGCUUCCACCCCGCUCUGCUCCCAAGGGCCUGGGUUAUUAUAAAUGAGUCAUGACGACUGGAUCUAUUUGUUUCAGGGCUUAUUUGUUGGAAGAGGAGGAAUGAGGCAGCAACUCAAGAGUCUCUUCUUGGUGUAUUGCACUCAAGUUUUCCUCCGCUCGUUCCGUUGAGGAUGAGAAAGGAGACACUCUGCUGGGUGCUGCAGGACUACAGAGCCUUGGCACCGGAAACUGAAGAGGUGAAACCGGGAGUGGAAAGCCUGCCUCAGAGCAGAACGUGGUCCCCGGGAUGGUCUGGAGCACAGAAAUAGCAAAUGCAGCACACAGACACCUGGUUCCAUCACUCUGAGUCCCUCCCGUCAGCCUGCGUGUCCCCGUGAACAUUUGCAGUCCACGAUAUUCGUCUGGUUUGGUUUACGGCAGCGUCUUCGCUGUUCCAAAGGCUGGUCUCAGCUGACUUCUACUGACUGCUUGGCGUCGUGGGUCUAAACAACUGCUCAGUGGACUUGGUGUUCCUACUUUCCGACAGCCUGCUUAGGCUGGUGCAAGAAUAGUCUGUGCGCUUCUUAGUAAGUCUUGGAACUGCUCCUGUGUAUAUCCAGCUCCCGGGUUAGGCCAUUUGCUCUUGGAGAAGAAUGCAUUUUCUGUUUCCUCUUCUGCUAGGUGCCUGUGUCUCUGCAGUAGGUCUGGAAUU